GGGCUGGAAAGUGAGGACAGAUGGGGAUAGGAAUAGCACAGGGAAGGGAUGGAAUCGGGGAAGCACAGAAAAGGACUAGUUUUGCGGGUUCCCUGUGAUGUUAGAGAGCAUUUAGGGAGGCAGAUAGGUGGACUGGUACAAGGACCUGGCCAAAACACCAUGCUCACCGGCAUUGACGCUGACGCUGCCACCUUCUGUUGCUGCUGCUGGUCAAUCUUGAACAGCUGCACCUUGGCUCUCUUAAGGAGGCUGAACAUUUUCUCCUCCACUCCAGACAGCGGCAAGGAACCCAGGCCUGCAAUCCGUGCCUUUUCCAGUGGCAAUAUAUGCUGUGGUGCUUGUUGCUGUUGCAGCUGUAACUGUGGCUGCACUUGUGGCUGCUGUGGCGGCAAUGCCUGGGGGAGGAGUUGGGUCUGCAAGGUCUGCAGGGGUUGCUGUAGCUGAGCCUGAGGCUGCUGCCCAUUGCUCAGAGCUGGAGCCCCAUGGGGGGGUACCUCAACCUUAACAGGUGUGGUGACCACAGGGGCAAAUCGAGGCAGGCUGAGGUGGUUGGUGCGGCCCACUGCCCGUGGCUCAGGCUCAGCUGGAGAGUCAUCAGCAGGAAGAGGCUCUGGUUCAGGGGCUUCAGGAGCCCCAAGAGGAGUAGUAAGCACCGAUUCAUAGAUCUUCAGGUGGGCUUCACUUGGGGUAAACUGAGCAGCCCGAAGGAGCAGGGGCCUCCUUGAGGGGGUGGCAGGGGCAGCUGGUGGGGAUGGGGCUGGGGGAGGGGCUGGAGGAGGAGGGGGUAGCUCCCGGGUUAGUGAGGUCCAGCGAAAUGUGGGUUCCCUUAGGAUGGACCGUCUCUUCUCAGGGAGUGGGACUGGGGCAGAUGGGGGAGUUGGGGCACGUGGUGGAGAAGGAGCUGGUGCUGGUUCCUGGGGAGCAAGUGGGGAGAUGGCGAUGGGAGGUCGCAGAAUAGGUGAGACCUCCACUUUUAGAGGCUUGGGAGGGUCUUCAUCCAUAAAUCGCCGGGGUGUCUUGAUGACACGUGAGGAGCGGGCACUCACUACAGGCAUAAUAAACUGCCGGAUAUUCUUCAGGAAGGUGGUACUUUUGGGGGCCACAGUGGGACUGUCUUCCAAAGGGGCUCCUGUGGUUGCACUGGGAUUUGGAGUGGGAGGAGAGGUGCCCUCUGGCCCUGCCCGAGCAGCUUCCCGCUCUGCCCGCUGGCUAGGGGUCAGGGGAGGCCGGCCCCUCUUCCUGGAGCAUGUAACAGGGACAGCUGGAGGAGGGGACUCUUCUUGCUCUUCUGGGGCUGGAGGUGGUGGAGGGGAUGGUACAGGAGGGGGGGACACUGGAGGGGGUGGAGGGCAAGGUGGAGGCGCAGGGGCUGGAGGAGUUGGGGGUGGUGAUGGUGGCUUUGCCUCUUCCUUUUCCUUGGCUAGUAUCACCUCCUCCUCAACCACAGUUCUUUCUUCCUUUUCUCCUUCCUCUUUGUUUUCUUCUUUUUUCUCCUCUCCCUCCUCCUCCACCUUCUGCUCCUGCUUUUUCCAAUAAGGACCCUCUCCCUGUUCAGAUCCAACUUGUCUUUGGGGGUCAUCCUGGCAGCUUUCCCCAUGUCGACCUUGACCCUGACCUGAUUCAAGUCCCAAGGACAACUGUUCCAUCUUCACUCUUUUGGCCUUGGAAACAAACUUGAUCAUGAGGGGGAGCCCGCCUUGGCCUCUGCCCCUGCCUCCUCGGCCUCCUCUCCCAGACUGUCCUCCACGUUUGAGGGUCCCAGGUCCUGGGCCAGGCCCCUCCUUGCACUUCCAGCUGCCAGUUCGGUGUUUUACUGGAACCACAGGAGGUGGGGGCUCAGGUUUAGGGAUUGUCACAGCUGCUUCUGCUACCACUACUGCUUGCUGCUUCUUCCGGCUGGGGCCUGCUGGUCGUCCUGGGGGCCGUCCCCGAGACCGACGGGGGGUGGAAGGCUCACAUGCCCGGCUCCGGGGGCCUGGGGGUGCCUGGGCCCGCCGGAGAAGUUCAGUCAGUGCCUGCACCAUCCGUUCUGUGCCCUCCUCACCCCGUUUUCGAGCAGGGGUCUUGGGGGGGGCAGGAGCCACAUCUGCUAGGCGAGGAGGAGGAGGAAGGGGGGUCGUCUUAUGCUUGCGGCCCCGACCUCGGGGGGCUCGACCUAAAAGGAGAAUAGGUGUGGGGAGACAGGUCAAGCUGGCCCUGCAGACUGAAGGUGCACUGGCAGGGCAGGGACUAAGUCUCACUUGUCUGUUUCUCCCACAGCCCGGCCUAGCUUAGGCUCUGAACACAGGACACACUCAGUAACUGAUGGAGAC
rnacentral:lncRNA from 1 species